CUGAGCUGUGAGAUAUAAGGCAGACACUGUAGGAAACUCCUCACUUCACUCUCUUCAUGUGAGCAGCCUGUCAGCUUCACUUGUUUCUUCUCUGAUUGGAGUUUCAGCACUUCCAGGAGGAUGGAGGUCUUUCUCUCUGAGAGGUUUAUGGACCAGACUGCAGGAGCUGACUGGAGAACUGACUGUAAUGAUGGAAGGACACUCAACCCUGUUUCACAACCAUAAGAGUAAAGGUCCAGCAGGAAAUCACACCAUUUCUCUUUAAGAGGGAAUGUUUUAUAUCUGCACACUGAUGAUAACAGCUCCAGUAUCUUCUCUCCUGUCUGCUGUUCUCUCUCUGCCGCUGCACAGAACAGAUUCCCAAAG